rnacentral:rRNA from 1 species
UACGGGGAGGCAGCAGUGGGGAAUAUUGCACAAUCGGGGGAAACCCUGAUGCAGCCAUGCCGCGUGUGUGAAGAAGGCCUUCGGGUUGUAAAGCACUUUCAGUAGGGAGGAAGGUAGUGUAGUUAACACCUGCAUUAUUUGACGUUACCUACAGAAGAAGCACCGGCUAACUCCGUGCCAGCAGCCGCGGUAAUACGGAGGGUGCGAGCGUUAAUCGGAAUUACUGGGUGUAAAGCGCAUGCAGGCGGCCUGUUAAGUCAGAUGUGAAAGCCCGGGGCUUAACCUCGGAAUUGCAUUUGAAACUGGCAGGCUAGAGUCUUGUAGAGGGGGGUAGGAAUUUCAGGUGUAGCGGUGAAAUGCGUAGAGAUCUGAAGGAAUACCAGUGGCGAAGGCGGCCCCCUGGACAAAGACUGACGCUCAGAUGCGAAAGCGUGGGGAGCAAACAGGAUUAGAUACCCUGGUAG